UAGAUGUGGCAUGCUGGUUUACGGCAUUCGCCAUUUUGGUUUUAAGUCAAGCACCAAGUUUUUGUUUGGACCACACUUCUGAUGUCUGCUGUAGCUGUCGUCAGGAAAAUACACAAGGACUAUGAUAAACCAUAAACGAACCCAGAUUAUUGUGGUUAUUUUCAGCUCUGUAACCACAUGAGGAGCUCCAGGUUUUGGCACGUCAGCGGUGCCUUUAUUUUCCAGCCCCGGCGGUUGCUGCUUGGUCUCCACACUGGCGUGAUGAUACGCAACCCGGUGGUCAAAGCUGAACUGCUGUGAGAUCCUGGAGCAGCUGGAGGCUGCAGACUCUGCUGUCUGCUCGUCUGCGGUGUCCUCAGCUUCAGCAUGGCGCCUCAUUUUGAGUCUUCCUCCUGCAAAUUACCUGAAUGAGGGUCACAACACAAACAAAGAUGUGUCGCCGAAGAUCAAGUCGAGUCGAAAGUCAAGUUGAGUGUAGCUGCACAUAGACUGAUCUUCCUGCAGAAACAUUUGGCACAACACACACUGCAAAUAAGAACGUCUGUGGAGCUUCAGAUAUUGUCUUUACUCCUGUGCUCUGCUGCCCUUUGGUCGUUCUAAAAAUAUUGUCAGAGGACAUUUAUUUCCUUUUAACAGGAUGUCGUCAUACAAACAUAGAUUAACCAAGUGCAGUCAGAUUGGUUCACUCAAGGAAGUUUCAUAUUACACUGAGCACAGCUUUCUUUGUGCUUUUCUCAUGUAACCACACGCGUGUUUAGCACAUUUUGACAAGAUGCUAAAUCUGAGACUUUCAGAGGACAUUUUAAUGAUUUCAGCUGGUUCACAAAUGUCCUGGAACCAUUGCAUUGGCUUUCUGCACUGUAGAAGCUGGUGAGACUUGGACCAGCUUCAGAGUAUAUAAUAGAUCCCCUAACAGCCUGGGAGCCUGAUCAUGGACUUAGAUCCUUAACCUUUGAAGAUCAGACCCCCAAACACUGGAGGGGACUUUCUGUAGACACACAUCCCUACCAACUUUUAAGACACACCCAGUGAUCAUGUGGGUGUGAUUUCACUUUGGUCUUUAUCUAGAAAAACACAUACUCAAAUACUGCACUGUGAUUUGUUUUCUUUUUGCAGUUCCUAAUCCUGUUCGUGUGAUUUUUUAUGUUGCCUUUCAGUUGUGCCUUGUCUUCAUGCCCCUCUCGUGUCUUGAGUAAUGCACUUAAACGACCUUCUUGUUUAAAGGCGUGUCCUCAGUUUAUUUUUUGUUUCCUUUACUUGUUCGUGCUUCUGUCGUCACACCUGAUUAAAGAAAAGCUUGUUUAUCUGGUUC